rnacentral:rRNA from 1 species
AUAUUGCGCAAUGGGGGAAACCCUGACGCAGCAACGCCGCGUGAGUGAAGAAGGCCUUCGGGUUGUAAAGCUCUUUAGACAGAGAAGAAGGGGGGCUAGGUAAAUAAUCUAGUUCUUUGACGGUAUCUGUAGAAUAAGCACCGGCUAACUCCGUGCCAGCAGCCGCGGUAAUACGGAGGGUGCAAGCGUUGUUCGGAAUUAUUGGGCGUAAAGCGCACGUAGGCGGGUUUGUAUGUCGAUUGUGAAAGCCCCGGGCUCAACCUGGGAAUUGCAGUCGAAACUGCAGAUCUUGAAUACCUAAGAGGGUGGGAGAAUUGCUGGUGGAGUAGUGAAAUACGUAGAGAUCAGCAGGAAUACCUGAGGCGAAGGCGCCUACCUGGUAGUGUAUUGACGCUGAGGUGCGAAAGCGUGGGGAGCAAACAGG